rfam:Nicotiana attenuata strain TT chromosome 7, whole genome shotgun sequence.
UGAAGAUGCUCCUGGCACAAUAUUUUCAUUCACAAAACCUAUAGGUAAAAAGGGCGAAUCAAAUAUAUGUGAUGAAAGAUUGAAAACCCUCCACCUUAUAAUCUGAGAACAAAUACUGGAAUUUUUGGAUUAGAGAAUUUUUUGAUAGGGCUGCAUCCUAUAUGGUGAAAAUCCAGCAAUCGAAAGCAUCAUUAGCUUACACUUUGAUCAAAGUAGCAUGAAGUAAGCAAAAUCUCGUGUAUCAUUAAGGGCCACCUUGUAAGGUGAAAUAUUUAUGGGUGACCGAUAGUGAAGUAGUACCGUGAGGAAUAGGCAAAAAGAUUUCCUAUUUGGAAGUGAAAUAGAACAUAAAAUCG